AGUGAACGCUGGCGGUAGGCCUAACACAUGCAAGUCGAACGGCAGCACAGUAAGAGCUUGCUCUUACGGGUGGCGAGUGUCGGACGGGUGAGGAAUACAUCGGAAUCUACUUUUUCGUGGGGUAUAACGUAGGGAAACUUACGCUAAUACCGCAUACGACCUACGGGUGAAAGCAGGGGAUCUUCGUACCUUGCGCGAUUGAAUGAGCCGAUGUCGGAUUAGCUAGUUGGCGGGGUAAAGGCCCACCAAGGCGACGAUCCGUAGCUGGUCUGAGAGGAUGAUCAGCCACACUGGAACUGAGACAGGGUCCAGACUCCUACGGGAGGCAGCAGUGGGGAAUAUUGGACAAUGGGGGAAAGCCUGAUCCAGCCAUACCGCGUGGGUGAAGAAGGACUUAGGGUUGGAAAGCCCUUUUGUUGGGAAAGAAAAGCAGCAGGUUAAUAACCCGCUGUUCUGACGGUACCAAAAGAAUAAGCACCGGCUAACUUCGUG
rnacentral:rRNA from 1 species